UAAGACGUAGGGGGCGAACGUUGCUCGGAAUUACUGGGCGUAAAGGGUGUGUAGGUGGCUGAGUAAGUCAAAGAUGAAAUCCCAAGGCUCAACCUUGGAAUUGUUUUUGAAACUGUUCAGCUUGAGGAUAGUUGAGGAGGAUGGAAUUCCCGGUGGAGCGGUGAAAUGCGUAGAUAUCGGGAGGAACACCAGAGGCGAAGGCGAUUCUCUGAACUAAUCCUGACACUGAGACACGAAAGCUAGGGGAGCAAACGGGAUUAGAUACCCCGGUAGUCCUAGCCGUAAACGAUGGGCACUAGAUGUUUCCGCUUUUAGCGGGGGUGUCGAAGCUAACGCAUUAAGUGCCCCGCCUGGGGAGUACGGUCGCAAGGCUG
rnacentral:rRNA from 1 species